UGCAGCUGCGUCAAAUUCAGUCCUCGCCCACCCGUGCUCGGGACUGGCCAAACAGCUGCCACAGCAACAUCCGUAACUCGUGAGCCCCACUGUCCUUCUCCCUCGGCUCUGGGGUGAAAGAAACGCUACGGACAGCG